rnacentral:rRNA from 14 species
AGGGGAACCUGCGGCUGGAUCACCUCCUUUCU